CAAUAGCGUAUAUUUAAGUUGUUGCAGUUAAAAAGCUCGUAGUUGGAUUUCGGGUAGGAUUUGCCGGUCCGUCUUUGAGAUGUGUACUGGUAAGUCCUAUCUUCUUGUCGGGGACCAGCUCCUGGGCUUCACUGUCCGGGACUGGGAGCCGACGAAGUUACUUUGAGUAAAUUAGAGUGUUCAAAGCAAGCCUACGCUCUGAAUAUAUUAGCAUGGAAUAACACGAUAGGACUCUGGCUUAUCUUGUUGGUCUGUGAGACCAGAGUAAUGAUUAAGAGGGACAGUCGGGGACAUUCGUAUUCCAUUGUCAGAGGUGAAAUUCUUAGAUUUAUGGAAGACGAACAUCUGCGAAAGCAUUUGCCAAGGAUGUUUUCAUUG
rnacentral:rRNA from 1 species